rnacentral:misc_RNA from 1 species
AUGGAUUCCUCGUACAUACCCUGGAGUCAAAAGGAAAAGCACACUUGUCUAAUAGUUCAUUUCACCAUAAUAUACAGAUCCAAUAUGGCAGUGAGCUUAGGGAUCCUGAAUGCGAUUCUGAUAGCGAAGAAUGAUUGCAUUUUCAAACUAGACAAGUAAAUCUUAAAGCAUGCAUAUACCUAGUCCAGAAAUAGAAGGUUGCACAUCUCAAUUAUCAUGGUAAAGCAAUAAAUCCAACAGAAUAGGGUACCAAAGUGAACAUAUUCAGAAGAACAUGUACAAUUCAUUAAAAAUAGGAGUCCGCUCUGCAUUUCCAUGAUUUGAGAUAAGCUCACUGGUUUUCGGGCUCCAUAUCUUAGAAAGAAAUUCAGAAAUUUGUUUCUUUGGGCUAUUUUGAUAUUUUUAAUUAUCUAAGGUAUUUUGGCAUUUGUCUUUGUAAUUAGGGUUAUAGUUAUCUCAUGAUACCUAAGGUAUCAUUAGAAGCUCUUCUAAAUUCUAACUUUAGGUUCUAUUUGGAUGAAAUCAAAACUUCAAGAUCAUCUUGAAUUUUCAGCUGUCUUUUCAUGACUCUACACACUUUUAGCCGAGAGUCUAUUAAUUAUGACAAGUUCACCAUCAGAUUUCAGCAAUCCCCUACCCUCCCAAGUACACAUAGGUCUCUUUGACUAAUGGUGAGCGACUUAAAUAAUUUAAGAUUAACUGGUAUCAAUUCUAAUUUCUAAUAGAAGAAUAUUCUCAUUCAUAAGAUUGCCCAAGUGCCA